CUUCAGCGAGCCGAGCCACAACGGCUGUUCCCGCUCCUGCCCGUAGGUGGCCAGCAGCGCCUGGACCUC
rfam:Amycolatopsis mediterranei S699, complete genome.